GCUUUUUGGUCCUGGGGAUUAGGAGGUAGUCACGCCCACGUCCUAUUCUAAUCAGGCGGCGACCAGCAGUUUCGAAGGGUAGCGCCGGCGGGCGACAGCUAGCCGACGGCAUGCCGAGCAGCCGGUGGGCGCGAGAGGGCGGUGGUCCGUGGGUGUGCGCGAUGGCUUGGUGGUCGGCGUCUAGGCUCGGUGGCAUGUUGCUCGACGCCUCGUCGAGUAGGAUGGCGGCCGAUUGAUCCAGCCAAGUACGAGAGCAUCUCUUCUGGAUAUGGAGUUCUCUUGAAAGUGCAAGGGGAAAAAGGUUUCUUCAGAGGUUGUGUGCCUACUUUGAUUGGAUAUAUUGGUUAAGGCAGGUGCAAAUUUUGUGUCUGUGAGUUCUGCCAGAAAUAUUACUCGGGUAUUGUUGUACCUGAGUAUGAAGCAAUUACAAGUCUUUGAUCUAACUUGUUGAUCUGCUUCGGCCGAGGUUAUCACCGACAAUGCCCUCUGCCCUAUGGAGGUUGUGAAGGUCCGUGUUGAGACGUACUCUAGCUUUUGAAGAGGUUUUUCUGAUGGGCUCCGUAAAGUUUGUGAAGUCUGAAGGAUAUGCUGAGUAUGCAGAUUGUACAAGGGAAUUGUCCCACUAUAGGGCAGACAAAUUCUAUUGUUAUGCGGCGGCGGCGGCGACUCGCACGGCUGGAACUACAUCGGCCUCGUGGAGAAGGAGCUCGUCUUCUCACCGGCCAACAAUGCCCUGACUGACCAGGUGGCUGGAAUCCGGCGAUCAUUGCCUUCCGCGUUCCAACAACCGAAUGCCAUCCAUGAGAACAAUGGAUGGAACCCAGUUCUUACUGGUGGACGUAAAAGUGUACUGCAAGUUCUCCAACCGCAAGCAACUUUGGAGUCCAGCAAUCACUGAUUUGUUUGACUGAGGAGCACUUCCAGAAGUACAUGUGGUGUUAUCUGAAGCUUGCUGGAAGAUAUACCUCUUUCUUCUUCUUCUUCUUCUUCUUCUUUAGUUUUUUAGCAUUAACCCUUUUUGAAGAUGUAAAUAAAGUAGCUGCAUGGUCCAGUUUGCUUAGUCAGUGUACAUGUAUCAAGAUGCAAAUUUCUGUACAUGAUGUACCAAUGUAUCUAGUAUCUUGUUAACCAUGGUUCCACUUGACCAAAACUUGACAGAUCUCUGAAGAAGCAGUGACUUC
rnacentral:rRNA from 1 species